rnacentral:rRNA from 1 species
GACGAACGCUGGCGGCGUGCUUAACACAUGCAAGUCGAACGCUGAAGCUUGGUGCUUGCUCUGGGUGGAUGAGUGGCGAACGGGUGAGUAAUACGUGAGUAACCUGCCCUUGACUCUGGGAUAAGCCUGGGAAACUGGGUCUAAUACUGGAUACGACAUGCCACUGCAUGGUGGUGUGUGGAAAGGGUUUUUCUGGUUUUGGAUGGGCUCACGGCCUAUCAGCUUGUUGGUGGGGUAAUGGCCUACCAAGGCGACGACGGGUAGCCGGCCUGAGAGGGUGACCGGCCACACUGGGACUGAGACACGGCCCAGACUCCUACGGGAGGCAGCAGUGGGGAAUAUUGCACAAUGGGCGGAAGCCUGAUGCAGCGACGCCGCGUGAGGGAUGACGGCCUUCGGGUUGUAAACCUCUUUCAGCACGGAAGAAGCGAGAGUGACGGUACGUGCAGAAGAAGCGCCGGCUAACUACGUG